rnacentral:rRNA from 1 species
GAACGCUGGCGGCAUGCCUUACACAUGCAAGUCGAACGGCAGCACGGGAGCAAUCCUGGUGGCGAGUGGCGAACGGGUGAGUAAUAUAUCGGAACGUGCCCAGUCGUGGGGGAUAACGUAGCGAAAGCUACGCUAAUACCGCAUACGAUCUAAGGAUGAAAGCGGGGGAUCGCAAGACCUCGCGCGAUUGGAGCGGCCGAUAUCAGAUUAGGUAGUUGGUGAGGUAAAGGCUCACCAAGCCAACGAUCUGUAGCUGGUCUGAGAGGACGACCAGCCACACUGGAACUGAGACACGGUCCAGACUCCUACGGGAGGCAGCAGUGGGGAAUUUUGGACAAUGGACGCAAGUCUGAUCCAGCCAUUCCGCGUGCAGGAUGAAGGCCCUCGGGUUGUAAACUGCUUUUGUACGGAACGAAAAGGUUUCUAUUAAUACUAGGAGCUCAUGACGGUACCGUAAGAAUAAGCACCGGCUAACUACGUG